rnacentral:sRNA from 1 species
GCCAGGCGCAGUGGUGCAUGCCUGUAAUCCCAGCAGCUCAGGAGGCUGAGGCAGGAGGAUCGUGAGUUCAAAGCCAUCCUUAGCAAUGGGGAGGCACUAAGCAACUCAGUGAGACCCUGUCUCUA